GUGCUUGUUUCAGCAGCACAUAUAGCAACAUUUUAAUGACAUAGAGAAGAUUAGCAUGGCUCCUAUGCAAGGACAACACAUAAAUCCAUCAAGUAUUCCAUAUUUUU
rnacentral:snRNA from 1 species